GUGCUCCCUUCAGCAGCACACAUAUUAAAAAUUAGAACAGCACAGAGAUCAGCAUGGCCCCUGUGCAAGGAUGACCACAAACUUACAAAGUAUUCUAUAUUUUU
ensembl:snRNA U6 U6 spliceosomal RNA